UACGGAGGGUGCAAGCGUUAUCCGGAUUCACUGGGUUUAAAGGGUGCGUAGGCGGGCAGGUAAGUCAGUGGUGAAAUCUCCGAGCUUAACUUGGAAACUGCCAUUGAUACUAUCUGUCUUGAAUAUUGUGGAGGUGAGCGGAAUAUGUCAUGUAGCGGUGAAAUGCUUAGAUAUGACAUAGAACACCAAUUGCGAAGGCAGCUCGCUACACAUAUAUUGACGCUGAGGCACGAAAGCGUGGGGAUCAAACAGG
rnacentral:rRNA from 1 species